UACAGAGGUGGCAAGCGUUGUUCGGAAUUACUGGGCGUAAAGGGCGCGUAGGCGGCCAUCUAAGUCAGACGUGAAAUCCCCAGGCUUAACCUGGGAACUGCAUUCGAGACUGCAUUGCUAGAGUAUGGGAGAGGGAAGUGGAAUUUCCGGUGUAGCGGUGAAAUGCGUAGAUAUCUGGAGGAACAUCGGUGGCGAAGGCGGCAUCCUGGACCGGUAUUGACGCUGAGGCGCGAAAGCCAGGGGAGCAAACGGG
rnacentral:rRNA from 1 species